rnacentral:rRNA from 1 species
UACGGAGGGUGCAAGCGUUGUCCGGAUUUAUUGGGUUAAAGGGUGCGUAGGCGGCUGAAUAAGUCAGCGGUGAAAGACUUCGGCUUAACCGGAGCAGUGCCGUUGAUACUGUUUGGCUUGAGUGUUGGAGGGGUACAUGGAAUUGAUGGUGUAGCGGUGAAAUGCAUAGAUACCAUCAGGAACACCGAUAGCGAAGGCAUUGUACUGGCCAACAACGUGACGCUGAGGCACGAAAGUGUGGGGAUCGAACAGG